GGCCACGCGCAUCCCAACCGGCGAUCUGUUGUCCCAGGUUAGGGGCGUGCGGGUGCGUGUGUGCACGAUCGUUGUCUACCCGCUCCGCUGCGCUGUCGCCGUUUUUAUUUCGUCUGCGAUUGUCGUCCGCAACACCGCUGCCGCGUCGCUCCGGAUAUUUCAUAAAAAAAAUACCGCGGUCUUUCCGCAACAAAAAAAUAUUUAAAACCCGCGUCGCGUUAAACAUUGUUACAUCGUCGUAUUAUCUAUAUAAGCCAUAUAGUGCAUUCGGUGCGAUAUUUUGGAGAUAUGUUGUGUCCUAUCUGCUGCAGUACUACGUUCAUCGAUAUCUUCAAAUCGUCCGUAUUGUGGUAUGCCUUGCAGCGGGCUAAUGUCUCUUUUGUGGUGCGGUCUUUCAUUCAAUUCUUCUCCCGGCCGGGGAGGCCGUGUCGGAUGACAAGAACCUUCUGCCGAGACCCGGACUCCUCCUCCACCUCCUUCUCUUCUUCUGGAGGAUCGUUCAGUACGAGGGUAUAUAUAUAUAAUUGUACAUAUUAUACCUAUACAUUUAUGUGCAUAUACGGCAUAUGCACGUCACUCUCCAUAUAAUAUAUUGCGCUCUAUAUAUAAAAACUAUCCCUUAUA